rnacentral:rRNA from 1 species
AGCCGAUGAUCGAUCUUUCGGGAGAGUGAUUCGGUGGAAAGUGGCGAAAGGGUGAGUAACGCGUGGGUAAGCUAUCUUGAAGUUCGGGACAACCCGCCGAAAGGCAGGCUAAUACCGAAUGUGGUCUUUGGAUGCAUAUCCGGAUGAUUAAAGGUGGGGCUCCUUUGGGACCUGCCGCUUUUAGAGGUGCCCGCGUGCCAUCAGCUUGUUGGUAGGGUAACGGCCUACCAAGGCUUACGGCUAGCCGGCCUGAGAGGGUGACCGGCCACACUGGGACUGAGACACUGCCCAGACUCCUACGGGAGGCUGCAGUCGAGGAUCAUUCGCAAUGCGCGAAAGCGUGACGAUGCGACGCUGCGUGGAGGAUGAAGGCCUUCGGGUCGUAAACUCCUGUCAUGAGGGAAAAGCAAUUUCACCCCGAAUACGGGUGGAAUCCGAUGGUACCUCAAGAGGAAGCCACGGCUAACUCUGUGCCAGCAGCCGCGGUAAUACAGAGGUGGCGAGCGUUGUUCGGAUUUACUGGGCGUAAAGGGUGCGUAGGUGGUUUUGUAUGUCGGAUGUGAAAGCCCAUGGCUCAACUGUGGAAUUGCAUUCGAAACUGCGGAACUAGAGUGCAGGGUGGGAGAGCGGAAUUCUUGGUGUAGCGGUGAAAUGCGUUGAUAUCAAGAAGAACACCGGUGGCGAAGGCGGCUCUCUGGAAUGUCACUGACACUGAGGCACGAAAGCUGGGGGAGCAAACAGGAUUAGAUACCCUGGUAGUCCCAGCCGUAAACGGUGCACACUUGGUGUGGGGAGAUUUAACCCUCUCCGUGCCGGAGCUAACGCGUUAAGUGUGCCGCCUGGGGAGUACGGCCGCAAGGCUAAACUCAAAGAAAUUGACGGGGGCCCGCACAAGCGGAGGAGCAUGUGGCUUAAUUCGAUGCAACGCGAAGAACCUUACCAGGGCUUGACAUAUACCUGCACGCCCCUCGAAAGGGGGGAAGCCUUUGAGGGUGGUAUACAGGUGCUGCAUGGCUGUCGUCAGUUCGUGCUGUGAGGUGUUGGGUUAAGUCCCGUAACGAACGCAACCCUUGUGGUUAGUUGCCACCGGCGGUGAUGAGCCGCCGAGCACUCUAGCCAGACUGCCCGUACAAGCGGGAGGAAGGUGGGGAUGACGUCAAGUCAGUAUGGCCCUUACGCCCUGGGCUGCACACGUGCUACAAUGGGCGGUACAAUGGGAAGCAAUACCGCGAGGUGGAGCAAAUCCCCAAAGCCGCCCCCAGUUCGGAUUGAAGUCUGCAACUCGACUUCAUGAAGUUGGAUUCGCUAGUAACGGCGCAUCAGCUACGGCGCCGUGAAUACGUUCCCGGGCCUUGUACACACCGCCCGUCACAUCAUGAAAGCCGUCUGCACCCGAAGUCGCUGAUCCAACCCGCAAGGGAGGAAGGUGCCGAAGGUGUGGGUGGUGAUUGGGAUGAAGUCGGAACAAGGUA